rnacentral:lncRNA from 1 species
CAGACACAUAGGAUGGGCUGUCUGUUAUUGACAUUGCUGCCAUGGCUGUGGAGCAGAGGAGCUACUGGGGGUGUGCAUCACACGCACACCUGGACCUUUGCAACUCCAUGAACACAAGAAUGCAGAAUGACUGGAAGCAUCAGGUUUUUGCCAGAGAAUGCCUCAGGUUGGCUGUUGUGCUCAGCUCAGCACUGCACAUGUGA